AACCUACGGGGGGCAGCAGUGAGGAAUAUUGGUCAAUGGACGAGAGUCUGAACCAGCCAAGUAGCGUGAAGGAUGACUGCCCUAUGGAUUGUAAACUUCUUUUAUAAAGGAAUAAAGUGAGGCACGUGUGCCUUUUUGUAUGUACUUUAUGAAUAAGGAUCGGCUAACUCCGUGCCAGCAGCCGCGGUAAUACGGAGGAUCCGAGCGUUAUCCGGAUUUAUUGGGUUUAAAGGGAGCGUAGAUGGGUUGUUAAGUCAGUUGUGAAAGUUUGCGGCUCAACCGUAAAAUUGCAAUUGAUACUGGCG
rnacentral:rRNA from 1 species